CGGUAGCAGGAGGAAGCUUGCUUUCUUGCUGACGAGUGGCGGACGGGUGAGUAAUGCUUGGGAAUCUGGCUUAUGGAGGGGGAUAACUACUGGAAACGGUAGCUAAUACCGCGUAAUAUCGAGAGAUUAAAGGGUGGGACUUUCGGGCCACCUGCCAUAAGAUGAGCCCAAGUGGGAUUAGGUAGUUGGUGGGGUAAAGGCCUACCAAGCCUGCGAUCUCUAGCUGGUCUGAGAGGAUGGCCAGCCACACUGGAACUGAGACACGGUCCAGACUCCUACGGGAGGCAGCAGUGGGGAAUAUUGCACAAUGGGGGGAACCCUGAUGCAGCCAUGCCGCGUGAAUGAAGAAGGCCUUCGGGUUGUAAAGUUCUUUCGGUGAUGAGGAAGGUGUUUUGUUUAAUAGACAAGGCAAUUGACGUUAGUCACAGAAGAAGCACCGGCUAACUCCGUGCCAGCAGCCGCGGUAAUACGGAGGGUGCGAGCGUUAAUCGGAAUAACUGGGCGUAAAGGGCACGCAGGCGGAUUGUUAAGUGAGAUGUGAAAGCCCCGAGCUUAACUUGGGAAUUGCAUUUCAGACUGGCAGUCUAGAGUAUUUUAGGGAGGGGUAGAAUUCCACGUGUAGCGGUGAAAUGCGUAGAGAUGUGGAGGAAUACCGAAGGCGAAGGCAGCCCCUUGGGAAUAUACUGACGCUCAUGUGCGA
rnacentral:rRNA from 1 species